rnacentral:rRNA from 1 species
CAUACUGAAUAUACCGGUUCUCGUUAGAUCACCGAAGUUAAGCAUCAUUGGGCGCGGUAGAUGGGUGGGUGACCACCUGGGAACA